rnacentral:rRNA from 1 species
GGUUAAGUCCCGCAACGAGCGCAACCCUCGUUCCAUGUUGCCAGCGGGUUAUGCCGGGGACUCAUGGGAGACUGCCGGGGUCAACUCGGAGGAAGGUGGGGAUGACGUCAAGUCAUCAUGCCCCUUAUGUCCAGGGCUUCACACAUGCUACAAUGGCCAGUACAGAGGGCUGCGAGACCGUGAGGUGGAGCGAAUCCCUUAAAGCUGGUCUCAGUUCGGAUCGGGGUCUGCAACUCGACCCCGUGAAGUUGGAGUCGCUAGUAAUCGCAGAUCAGCAACGCUGCGGUGAAUACGUUCCCGGGCCUUGUACACACCGCCCGUCACGUCACGAAAGUUGGUAACACCCGAAGCCGACGGCCUAACCCGCAAGGGAGGGA